GCGAGUAUGGCCCUCACGGGUCUAAUCCACCACAAACACCUUUGUGAACCAGUCAGGGGGACUCGGCCGUGAAAGCCCAGGCGAUUAGCGGAAGGGCCCUCCUCUGCAAACCCGUUUAGAAGUCUUGAAAGUACUUUUGUAUAAUCUAGUA
rnacentral:misc_RNA from 1 species